CUAUCUAAACCUCCUAAAUUAUUAUAUUCAAAUACGUACUAUUAUCUAUACAUCUGCUAUAGUUCUAUACUUACAUAUUAUUUUUCUUAAAUUUCCCAUAUGGUAAUAUUUUUCUUAUUAUUGUGUGUGCGCUCCAUCCUCAACCGGCUCAAGUUCUCCGCAUAUUUUUUUCCUUUUCUUUCUUGAAUCGAAUCGAAUUUUUCUCUUUCUUUGCUUGAACCGAACCAAUUUUUUUUUUCUUUCUUUACUUGAUUCGAAUCAAUCCUUAUUGAAUGUGAGCCCCUCCAAAUCGGCUCAAAUUCUUCAUAUGUUUUUUCUUUCUUUGCUUGAAUCAAAUCAAAUUUUUCUUUUUUUUUUUGCUUGAACCUAACCGGGUCACACCUCUACAUUGGGCUGAACUGUUCCUCUUUCACUUUCUUCGGCUAUUAUCUUACUUCAUCGACAAGAUAUUAAUCUCACCUCUUAUCGUCGGUUUUUCUAUCGUUGUUUCAUUUUUCUUUAUCGUCGUUUUCUAUUUUUUUCUCUCAUUAUCUAUCCGUCGCAUCACACGGAUUUCUGUAUUAAUAUAAUUUAAUUGGUUGAAUGAUAAUAUAUCAUUAAUAUGAAAGUGAUAUAAUAUUUUAGCUAUUUUUACGUCAUCAAGUAUAAUAUUAUUACUAUAUCGCUAUGGCAUAAGUAAUAUAUCACUAAUUAGUCAAUUGAAUUAUUUUUUUAGAGAAAAAAAUAGUAAACCAUCUACUUUGUUUAUUUUUUAAAAAU
rnacentral:lncRNA from 1 species